rnacentral:rRNA from 1 species
AUUGAACGCUGGCGGCAUGCCUUACACAUGCAAGUCGAACGGCAGCACGGGAGCAAUCCUGGUGGCGAGUGGCGAACGGGUGAGUAAUAUAUCGGAACGUGCCCAGUCGUGGGGGAUAACGCAGCGAAAGCUGUGCUAAUACCGCAUACGAUCUAUGGAUGAAAGCGGGGGAUCGCAAGACCUCGCGCGAUUGGAGCGGCCGAUAUCAGAGUAGCUAGUUGGUGGGGUAAAGGCCCACCAAGGCGACGAUCUGUAGCUGGUCUGAGAGGACGACCAGCCACACUGGAACUGAGACACGGUCCAGACUCCUACGGGAGGCAGCAGUGGGGAAUUUUGGCCAAUGGGCGCAAGCCUGAUCCAGCAAUGCCGCGUGCAGGAUGAAGGCCUUCGGGUUGUAAACUGCUUUUGUACGGAACGAAACGGUCCUUUCUAAUACAGAGGGCUAAUGACGGUACCGUAAGAAUAAGCACCGGCUAACUACUUGCCAGCCGCCGCCGUAA